CCUACGUGCGGCAGCAGUGGGGAAUAAUGCGCAAUGGGCGAAAGCCUGACGCAGCGACGCCGCGUGAGGGAUGAAGGUCUUCGGAUCGUAAACCUCUGUCAGCAGGGAAGAACGGUCACUGUGCUAAUCAGCAGUGAAUUGACGGUACCUGCAAAGGAAGCACCGGCUAACUCCGUGCCAGCAGCCGCGGUAAUACGGAGGGUGCGAGCGUUAAUCGGAAUUACUGGGCGUAAAGCGCUCGUAGGCGGUAUGUCAAGUCAAGGGUGAAAUCCCCGCGCUCAACGUGGGAACUGCCUUUGAAACUGGCAAACUGGAGUGUGUGAGAGGAUAGUGGAAUGCCAGGUGUAGGAGUGAAAUCCGUAGAUAUCUGGAGGAACAUCAGUGGCGAAGGCGACUAUCUGGCACAUAACUGACGCUGAGGAGCGAAAGCGUGGGUAGCAAACAGGAUUAGAUACCCGAGUAGUC
rnacentral:rRNA from 1 species